UACGUAGGGUGCAAGCGUUGUCCGGAAUUAUUGGGCGUAAAGAGCUCGUAGGCGGUCUGUCGCGUCGAAUGUGAAAACCCGGGGCUCAACCCCGGGCCUGCAUUCGAUACGGGCAGACUAGAGUUCGGUAGGGGAGUCUGGAAUUCCUGGUGUAGCGGUGGAAUGCGCAGAUAUCAGGAGGAACACCGAUGGCGAAGGCAGAUCUCUGGGCCGUAACUGACGCUGAGGAGCGAAAGCGUGGGGAGCGAACAGG
rnacentral:rRNA from 1 species